AGAGUUUGAUCAUGGCUCAGGACGAACGCUGGCGACGCGUUUUAAGCAUGCAAGUCGAACGGUAAGGAUACGCAAGUAUUCUGAGAGUGGCGAACGGGUGAGUGACACGUAGGUAAUCUGUCGUGAGGAUGGGGAUAGCCCAUGGAAACAUGGGGUAAUACCGAAUAAGCUGGAUAUGCGGGAGCGUAUUCAGGAAAGGUGCGAUGGCACCGUCUUACGAGGAGCCUGCGGCCUAUUAGCUAGUUGGGUGGGUAAGAGCCGCCCAAGGCAACGAUAGGGAGCCGGCCUGAGAGGGUGAACGGUCACACUGGGACUGAGAACGGCCCAGACUUCUACGGGAGGCAGCAGCUAAGAAUCUUCCGCAAUGGGCGCAAGCCUGACGGAGCGACGUCGCGUGUGCGAAGAAUGUCGAGAGAUUGUAAAGCACUUUUCUUGUCGAGGAAUAAGCAAAGGAGGGAAUGCCUUUGUGAUGACGGUAGGCAAGGAAUAAGCCCCGGCAAAUUACGUGCCAGCAGCCGCGGUAAUACGUAAGGGGCAAGCGUUGUUCGGAAUUAUUGGGCGUAAAGAGCAUGUAGGCGGUAUGAUAAGCCUGGAGUAAAAGAUCACAGCUCAACUGUGGUACGCGUCAGGAACUGUCAUACUAGAGUCUAGGAGGGGAAGUUGGAAUUCUUGGUGGAGGGGUGAAAUCUGUAGAUCCCAAGGAGAACACCGGAGGCGAAGGCGAACUUCUGGCCAUAGACUGACGCUGAGAUGCGAAAGCGUGGGGAGCGAACAGGAUUAGAUACCCUGGUAGUCCACGCUGUAAACGAUGUGCACUAGAUAUCGGACAUUCGUGUUCGGAAUCGGAGCUAACGCGGUAAGUGCACCGCCUGGGGAGUACACUCGCAAGGGUGAAACUCAAAUGAAUUGACGGG
rnacentral:rRNA from 1 species